CUGCCUUCUUCCUCCUGCACGCACGCCAGGGCAGGGAGCCCUUCUUCCCACGGCUGCAACGAGGAGCUCGGCUCCUCUUCCAUUGACGUCGCCCCUCUCCCAUGGCGCGACGCCGUGCUCCUCCAACCAGUGCCUCCAUCUCCCACCCGACCUCCUCCCUCUCUAUGGUCCCCAUGGCCGUCCGGCCCUGCUCAGCGCCCCUUCUUCCUCCCUGUUCACAGCAGCAGCACGCUAGCGCAGGGACAAGGACCUCCACGGCCGAGCGCCCUCCCUGCGAGCUACCUCCUCCCAGGCUUCCCUUGCGCAGUGGGAGAAGCUCCCAUGGGCGCGCCCCCCUUCAGGCUUGGCAGCAGGGACAGCGCCCAUCCCUCCCCCUGCUGUUCUUCUCUUAUGGCGUGCUCCCUUCUCACCUCGGCCAGCCAUGGCGCGACGCCCCCGGUAGGCGAGCAGCAGCUCGUCCACCUCUCUCUCCCAUGGCAUUUCCCCCUGCGAGCAGCGCUUUCUCUGUUGUCUUCAACCUCCGGUCGCUCCCAUCUCUCUGCAGCACCCUGUCCAUUUUAUUUCACCCAGCCGAUUCCCUCUACUGUCCAAGGCGCGGGCGCUAUUUCCCAUGGCCGAGCAGCCCCCUUGCAGUGA
rnacentral:misc_RNA from 1 species